rnacentral:lncRNA from 1 species
UGAAUUUCACGUGAGAUUCACAUGAAUUGAAAUUCACGUGAAUGAAAUUUGCCUGUGUAUGUGGCCUUCGGUUGUUAUUUGCUCUUUGGUCGGGUUGUUGUCUCUUUGACACAUUCCCCAUUUCGAUUUUCCAUUUUAUAGUGACAUUACUAAAACUAAGUAAUACAAAGGAAUCCUUGCAACCCGGACACAAAAUGCACAACCACUAUAUUUGUCGACUUGUUUCCGGUUUUUGGAUUUGAAAUAUUUUUAUUCAUUGAUUAAG